CAAGUACUCCCUCCGUCCAGAAAUACUUGUCGCAAAAAUGGAUAUAAAUGGAUGCAUCUAAAACUAAAAUACGUCUAGAUACAUCCAUUCCUCCGACAAGUAUUUCUGGACGGAGGGAGUGCUAU
rnacentral:pre_miRNA from 1 species